UACUGCACUGGUGGCAGUUGCGGUGGUGCACGGACAACCAGAAGAGUCGACCAAUGCCACCAUCCCGGGUGCGGAAGAGCCGUCCGCCACCUUCUCGGCUGGGGUGAGACUGUCGGCGCCGUCGUACGCGGAAGAAGACGAGGAUACCAUUUGUGUCCAGGCAGACAACAAGUUCUGCUUGUAUGCUAAUUCACUGAAGCUGUAUUCUUGCUACAACCUGCUACCGAAGGUUUACGUGGUGAAAGCAACGAGUCUCUGUAAACCAACACUGUCAGGCUGUCCCAAGAACUAGGACUAUUGCAAGUCUGUUGGUUCAGCUUGAAGAGACUGACUCCUCUGCGAUUGGGUGAAGACCAGAUAUCUGGCCUGCUGACUGAAGACAUCUACAAUAUUCUGAGGAAGCAAGAAAUCCCAAGAGCGUCAGAACUUACCUCUUUUUCUAGCAAAAAAACUGGAGGAAUCGACUAAUCCUCUUUCAUCAUUGUUUCUGAUUGCUUCACGAUAUGCAAUAAACAACACCAGCAUUAUAUUUACAUGAGAAACUGAUUCCAAAAACGUGUGUUUAAAAACAUGAUUUUCCCUGUUUUUUUCUGUUUUCUGUUUUUCUGUUUUCGUUGAAUACAUUUCCUUACCUGCA